UCAGAAGGAAGGGAGAGUGUUUUACGAUGCAUUGUUAUCAUUAACCAGUCUUUUACUAUUAAAAUUAAAUGGCUAAU